rnacentral:misc_RNA from 1 species
UAUCCGUAGGUGAACCUGCGGAAGGAUCAUUAUUGGAUUUUGAAACUUCAGGCUGCUGCUGGCUCUCCUCGGAGGGCAUGUGCACGCUUGUUGUCCAUUAUUUCUCCCACUGUGCACAAAUUGUAGACCUUUCAGUAGGCCUAUGUUGUUUCUCACAAUCUCUGAAUGUAAUAGAAUGGUUUUGAAUCUUGGGAAAUACAAUACAACUUUCAGCAACGGAUCUCUUGGCUCUC